rnacentral:rRNA from 1 species
AUUGAACGCUGGCGGCAUGCUUUACACAUGCAAGUCGAACGGCAGCACGGGGGCAACCCUGGUGGCGAGUGGCGAACGGGUGAGUAAUGCAUCGGAACGUAUCUUCAAGUGGGGGAUAACGCAUCGAAAGAUGCGCUAAUACCGCAUAAUCUCUGAGGAGAAAAGCAGGGGAUCGCAAGACCUUGCGCUUCUGGAGCGGCCGAUGUCGACUAGCUAGUUGGUGGGGUAAAGGCUUACCAAGGCUUCGAUCAGUAGCUGGUCUGAGAGGACGACCAGCCACACUGGGACUGAGACACGGCCCAGACUCCUACGGGAGCAGCAGUGGGGAAUUUU